ACCCGGGAGUGUAGGAAAUGAAGCCCCCGAAGGAUCUGGCGGCUCCAGCGCUGAAGGACUCGUGGCUUCAUCUCUCGGAACCGCCUCAGGGUCCCAUCCCGAGGUGCCACAGAGGGGGCGCCCAGCCGCACCUGCAGCUCACACCAGGCCACCUCCACCGUGGUGUCGGUGUCCAGCCCUCGAUACACCGUCUUGAACGAGCCACGUCCAAUCUCGAUGUCAAACUUGAGAUCUCAGAACACAGAUGGAGAGAUUUCAGUGGUGAAUACCAACAGGGAAAAAAGACCCGGGAAUUGGACUACCUAUUGUACAGAACACUAUGGGUUCAAAGCCAGGGGAGAGAAAAAAGUUGUUAAAAGCAAAGACUUGUGGAGCACCUGGCUGGGACCGCUGGUGGAGUGGGUGACUCUUGAUCUCAAGGUUGUGGGUUAGAGCCCCUCAUAGGCUGUACAGAUUACUUAAAAAUAAAAUCUUAAAAAAAAAAAAAAAAAAA